UACGAAGGGGGCGAGCGUUGUUCGGAAUUACUGGGCGUAAAGGGCGCGCAGGCGGCUCUGAAAGUCAGAUGUGAAAGCCCCGGGCUUAACCUGGGAAUUGCGCUUGAUACUCUGAGGCUUGAGUUCGGGAGAGGUGAGUGGAAUUCCCAGUGUAGAGGUGAAAUUCGUAGAUAUUGGGAAGAACACCGGCGGCGAAGGCGGCCAUCUGGCUCGGUACUGACGCUCAGGCGCGAAAGCGUGGGGGAGCAAACAGG
rnacentral:rRNA from 1 species